rnacentral:ncRNA from 1 species
GGUCAAGUGAAGAAGCGCAUACGGUGGAUGCCUUGGCAGUCAGAGGCGAUGAAAGACGUGGUAGCCUGCGAAAAGCUUCGGGGAGUCGGCAAACAGACUGUGAUCCGGAGAUGUCUGAAUGGGGGAACCCAGCUGUCAUAAGACAGUUACCUUACACUGAAUACAUAGGUGUAUGGAGCGAACCAGGGGAACUGAAACAUCUAAGUACCCUGAGGAAAAGAAAUCAACCGAGAUUCCUUAGUAGUGGCGAGCGAACGGGGACCAGCCCUUAAGUUGAUUUGAGAUUAGCGGAACGCUCUGGAAAGUGCGGCCAUAGUGGGUGAUAGCCCUGUACGCGAAAAUCUCUUGUCAAUGAAAUCGAGUAGGACGGGGCACGAGAAACCUUGUCUGAACAUGGGGGGACCAUCCUCCAAGGCUAAAUACUACUGACUGACCGAUAGUGAACCAGUACCGUGAGGGAAAGGCGAAAAGAACCGCGGAGAGCGGAGUGAAAUAGAUCCUGAAACCGUAUGCGUACAAGCAGUGGGAGCCCACUUUGUUGGGUGACUGCGUACCUUUUGUAUAAUGGGUCAGCGACUUAUUUUCAGUGGCGAGCUUAACCGAAUAGGGGAGGCGUAGCGAAAGCGAGUCUUAAUAGGGCGUCUAGUCGCUGGAAUAGACCGAAACCGGGCGAUCUAUCCAUGGGCAGGUUGAAGGUUAGGUAACACUGACUGGAGGACCGAACCGACUACCGUUGAAAGUUAGCGGAUGACCUGUGGAUCGGAGUGAAAGGCUAAUCAAGCUCGGAGAUAGCUGGUUCUCCUCGAAAGCUAUUUAGGUAGCGCCUCAUGUAUCACUGUAGGGGGUAGAGCACUGUUUCGGCUAGGGGGUCAUCCCGACUUACCAAACCGAUGCAAACUCCGAAUACCUACAAGUGCCGAGCAUGGGAGACACACGGCGGGUGCUAACGUCCGUCGUGAAAAGGGAAACAACCCAGACCG